UAAUUCAACCAGAGAAAUCAGCCAGUUCUUGUCUGAGAUGGAAGCUAAGCAGGGUCACUCCUGGUUAGUACUUGGAUGGGAGACCGGCAGUGAAUACCAAGUGUUGUAUGUU
rnacentral:rRNA from 1 species